UGAGAUUAUUUAUAAUAUACUAUGAACUUAAAGGACAGCAGCAUUUCAUCUUCUUCAAAUCACUUCCAAACACUUUGCAUUAGUUUCAGUUCGAAGCAGCAGCACCAAGCAAUGGCGGAAUCAAUUGCUUUCGACAUCAUCACCAAACUGAGCUCCCCUCUUCUGCAGCAACUUGGCUUAUGGUGGAAUUUCAAAGACGACCUGCAGGACCUCAGAAGCAUCGUCUCCGCGAUCUCUGCUGUGCUUCUUGAUGCCGAGGAGCGAUCUGUGAGCAGCAAUCUUGUCAAAGACUGUCUUGAGAAGCUGAAAGAUGCACUUUAUGAUGCUGAUGACCUUUUGGAUGACAUCCAUACUGAAGCUUUGAGGAAAGAUCAGAUGAGUGGGAACAAGCUGACGAGAGAGGUACGCGUUUUCUUUUCAAGCUCAAACCAGUUUGCUUAUGGUCUCAAAAUGGGACGUAAAAUCAAGGCCAUUAAGGCCAGAUUAAGUUCCAUUCAAAAUGAGACCAAGAUGUUGAAUUUGGUAGAGCGUUACCAUCCUGAGGAAACGCCUUUCAUGGCCAAAAGGAGGCAGCAGACGCAUUCUUUUGUGCGUAAAGAUGAAAUAAUAGGGAGGGACGAUGAUAAAGCAGCUCUUCUAAAACUCUUGUUAGAGUUUGAAAGUGAAGAGAAUGUUUAUUUCAUUCCGAUUGUGGGGAUCGGAGGCUUAGGCAAGACUGCGUUGGCACAGUUGGUCUAUAAUGAUGAGACGGUCAAGGAUCACUUUGAGUUAAAGAUGUGGGUUUGUGUCUCCGAUGUUUUUGAUGUGAAAUUAAUAGUAGCAAACAUUAUUAAAUCUGUGACUAAUCAUGCACCCGAUCAAAAUCUCGACAUGGAUCAAUUGCAAAAACAACUUCGAGAUAAAAUUGAUGGGAAAAAAUAUUUGCUUGUUUUGGAUGACAUUUGGAACGAGGAAAGAGAACAAUGGUCUAGCUUAAAGAAAUUACUGAUGGGUGGGGAUAAAGGAAGUAGGAUACUAGUAACUAGUCGGUCUUUGAGGGUAGCUAAGUUAACUAGUAAAUGUCAGCCCCAUGUUCUGAGAGGCUUGUCUGAUGAUGAUGCAUGGUUUUUGUUCAAAGAAAUAGCAUUUGAGCAAAGACCUGCAGACUCGAAAAAUUCAGCCUUUGUGGAAGUAGGAAAGCAGAUUUUGGGAAAGUGUGGUGGAGUUCCCUUAGUCAUAAAGGCGAUAGCCGGUACAUUAUCUUUUAAAGAAACAGAAAACGAGUGGCUUUCUUUCAAAGAUACUGAACUUGCUAGAGUGUCCCAAAAUGGAGGUGAAAUUCUGCCUACUCUUAAGUUGAGUUAUGAUCACCUUCCAUCUCAAUUGAAGCAUUGCUUUGCUUAUUGUAGACUCUAUCCAAAAGACCAUAGGUUUAAUGCACAAAGACUUGUUCAAUUUUGGAUUGCACAAGGUUUUGUAAAGCAAUUAAAUCCAAAUCAAUCUCUUGAAGAAAUCGGGUUUGGGUAUUUCAGAAGUUUAGUUGAAAGAAGUUUCUUUCAAGAGGUUGAAGAUUUACCCUGGGGAAUGACAUGUAAAAUGCAUGAUUUUAUGCAUGAUCUUGCUGAAUUGGUAGCAGGGAGAGAGAUUAGUAUUUUAGAUUCAAACUCAAGUGGAAGCGAGGUUGAUGAGAAAUGUCGUCACCUAUCGAUUGAUUUUUCGUUAAUUCAUUUGUUCAAGGGAAAGAAGUUGCGAACUUUAUUACGUUCUCGAAACAAUUGGGUUGAAAAUAUGACUGAUUCAGCUUGGGAUUGGAUAAUUUCGAAUUGUAGAUGCUUACGCGUUUUAGAAUUGCGUUCUUUAAAUCUUAAUACAAUUCCGGACUCCAUUCAUAAGCUGAAACAUUUGAGGUACCUUGAUCUCUCUUUCAAUAAAAAUCUUAAGAUCCUCCCAAAGAGUAUUUGCAAGACACAAAAUUUGCAAGUGCUGAAACUUGACUAUUGUGACCGACUUGAAGAACUGCCAAAGAAGAUUGAAAAAUUGGUGAAUCUUAUCCAUCUUGGGUGUAAAUACUGUCAGAGAUUAACUCAUAUGCCAAGUGGAAUAGGGAAACUGACUUCACUUCAGACGUUAAGCAUGUUUGUUGUGGAUAAAGACGGUUCCCAUGGUGCUGCUGCUGCAGAUCUUAGUGAAUUGAGUGGCCUAAACAACUUAAGGGGAGAUCUAACAAUAACAAAUUUGGGAUUCGUGAGAAAUGCAAAAGAGAAGUUUAGGGCUGCUAAUUUGAAAGGGAAGCAACAUCUGCGAGAAUUGCAUUUAGAAUGGAGCGGUUAUGUUCCUAACACAUCAGAUGGAGAUGACGAAGAGAAGUCACUUGAAGACCUCCAGCCCCAUCCUAAUCUGAAGGAGCUCUGCGUGGUAGGAUGGAGGGGCGAUCCCAAGUUUCCAAGUUGGCUUUAUUUACUUACAAAUCUCACUUCUAUUGAAAUAAGGGGUCCUAGUAAAUUUAAAUAUCUCCCUUCCUUUGCUCAAUUGCCUUAUCUUCAACGGUUGUGGAUUUCUGAGUUAACUGAGCUGGAGUACAUGCACGAUAAUGACUGCAAUGGAGGACAAGGAGAAUCAGAAUCAUUCUUCCCCUCGCUUACAUUUCUCACACUCAUGAAAUGCCCAAAUAUGAAGAGUUGGUGGAAAAGACCAGUUGAUAAUGAUAAGGGUGGGGACAAGGAUAGAACAGUUAUAGGAGCAUCAACCAUGGCAUUUCCUUGUCUUUUCAGUUUAUGGAUUGAAGAUUGCCCUUUGACUUCAAUGCCGCUGUAUCCGUCACUCGAUGAGCUAAGGUUGGUGAAUACCAGUUCAAUGCCAUUAAAGCAUACCAUUCAGAUGAGCACCACUAUUAUAGAACCAUCAACAUCUUCUCUUCCUCUCUCCAAUGUGUUCCUGAAAAAUAUUGAGGAACUAGACCCGGACAAUGAGUUCCUGCAAAAUCUUACUUCUCUCGAGCAUUUGGUGAUUGCCUCUUGCCAUUGGCUAAAGUCUUUACCUGUGUGGUUGCAACAGUUGAGCAGACUUAAAAGUUUAAAAAUAACAGAUUGCAAGGAGCUUGAUUUAGAGGGCAUACAGUGGGAACCCCUUAAGAAUCUCUCUCGUUUGGAGAUUGAUAAUCUCCCACAGCUGGUGUCUCUCCCCCUUUGGCUUCAACAUCUUGUUCGAUUGGAAUCGUUAGUUAUUAAGAAUUGCAGUGGAUUGAGGUCACUCUUUCCUGUGUUCCUACAUCUCACUUUCCUUGAAUCGCUUAAAAUAGUUGGCUGCGAGGAGCUGGAGUUAUCGGCAGGAGGCAUCCAAAUAUUCCAUAAUUGUACAAGCUUACGUGUUCUACGUCUGGAAAACAUCCGAAAGUGUCGGCAUCUUCCGGAGUGGCUUCAACAUCUAACAAAUCUGCAAAAGCUUCGUCUGUAUAAUUUGCCCAAUUUAACAUCGCUUCCGGACAAUAUGUGUGGCCUAACCAGUUUGGAAGAUUUAAGUAUACGAGAAAAUCCCCAGUUGGAGGAAAGAUGUCGGAAGGACAUUGGUGCCGAUUGGCAUAAGAUUGCUCACAUCCCGGAGAUUUGGGUGAAUGAGACAAGGGUGCAAUAGCUACUGAAGGGCAUAUGAGUAUUUCUAGGAAUUUAUAUGCAGGAAAAGAGGUGCAUGAGAUCAAUGUAAGACAUGUAUUCCUCAAGAACUGAUCCAUUUCUCAGCAUUCGUCCCCGGUUUUGUUAAGUCUAAUUGUGUCACUGAAGCAGAGGCCCUCUGAAUGUAUCUUGUUCGGGUUAUGGAACAGUGUGGUGCAAGGUCAGAUGUAGCAAUGUUCAAUGCUAUUUUUUGGGAGUCAGCGAAUAAGAUCCCAACAGAUCCUGUAUCUGAUCCUAUUGUAGAUUCAACGGUUCUCCCAAUUCCAGCCAGAGAUCUUAGCUUCGGAUCCGUCGCUCAGCUAAAAGAUUCUGUUGGAGAUUGGUAUAGGUGCCUGACUGAUAAGUUUGGCAUUGAUAGUAAUAAGGCUUUAAAAGAAAACCAGCAUUACAGUCGAGAUGAUUCCGGGAAAAAUCGUGAUGAACGUAAAGUGUUCGUUUUUCUUAAUGCCUUGAGUGAUAUUCUCUGCAACUUUACUCUGGAUGAGUUUUGUCCCGAUCCUGUUCCGGAAGCUGUACCGGAAUCCCUGCAUGCUCAAGCUCAACUCGAAGCUUGAAACUCAAAGCUCAGUUUAUUUCUUGAAAGGAAAUUACCCAAGGCAUAAAAUGUAUUCAACA